UACAGAGGUGGCAAGCGUUGUUCGGAAUUACUGGGCGUAAAGGGCGCGUAGGCGGCCGCCUAAGUCAGACGUGAAAUCCCCAAGCUUAACUUGGGAACUGCGUCUGAUACUGGGUGGCUUGAGUUCGGGAGAGGAAUGUGGAAUUCCAGGUGUAGCGGUGAAAUGCGUAGAUAUCUGGAGGAACACCGGUGGCGAAGGCGGCAUUCUGGACCGAAACUGACGCUGAGGCGCGAAAGCUAGGGGAGCAAACGGG
rnacentral:rRNA from 1 species